rnacentral:rRNA from 1 species
CUUUCUUUGCUGGCGACCGGCGCACGGGUGAGUAACACGUAUCCAACCUGCCCUUUACUCGGGGAUAGCCUUUCGAAGGAAAGAUUAAUACCCGAUGGCAUAAUGAUUCCGCAUGGUUUCAUUAUUAAAGGAUUCCGGUAAAGGAUGGGGAUGCGUUCCAUUAGGUUGUUGGUGAGGUAACGGCCCACCAAGCCUUCGAUGGAUAGGGGUUCUGAGAGGAAGGUCCCCCACAUUGGAACUGAGACACGGUCCAA